UACGGAGGAUGCAAGCGUUAUCCGGGUUCAUUGGGUUUAAAGGGUGCGUAGGCGGACUAUUAAGUCAGUGGUGAAAGCCUGCAGCUUAACUGCAGAACUGCCAUUGAUACUGAUAGUCUUGAGUUUGGUUAAGGUAGGCGGAAUGUGUAAUGUAGCGGUGAAAUGCUUAGAUAUUACACAGAACACCAAUUGCGUAGGCAGCUUACUGAGCCGACACUGACGCUGAGGCACGAAAGCGUGGGGAUCGAACAGGAUUA
rnacentral:rRNA from 1 species